rnacentral:lncRNA from 1 species
UCAACUCCUAGAAGAUGAUAAAAACGCCAAGAUCUUCAUUGAAAUGGAUGUGAAUCAGCGGAGGAAGUGGUUGUUAAGAAAGCUUCACCGCCGGUAGCAUCAAUUUAGCCUUCAAAUUAUGUAAUAUAACUUCGAUUCACACUUGAGACCUGUGUCCAUAUAUAAAACCAGCAGAGAUGUUAAUACAAAGCAGUUACUGCACUCAAUCUUGCAAGAUACCAGCCUGGAACAUUUGUGGCCCUGUUAAUGAAGAGCAGUUUCAGUCCAAGUACCAGAAUCUUAUUUUUCUCCUUAAUUACUGAAAUGACUAAGAUAAUGUCUGAUGGGCUAAGGCUGAAGGCCCUCGGCCUCCUAAAUUUUGAAAUGAGCCCAGCCAUCUCAAUGAGCAUAACAUCCCCUUCUAAUUUUUCAAAAUUGAUGAAAUACAAAAGCAAAACUCUUGGUUAUAACUUCUUUUUCACUCUCAUCAAUUUUAUUUCGUUGUGUUUAUGCUUUUUUUUUCCUUGUAUUUUAGAGAAGUUAAGUACACACUUACUAUUUUUUGUUUAAUUCUUUGAGUUCACAACUUUUAAAAUUAAAUUUCUAGUUCGAUCACACAGUAUCUCCUAAAUUUCUGCAUUGGUUUAAUAGUACAGCUGAAGUGUUUGGAAGGGUAAACUUUUAUUUGAGUUUUUACAACCGUAAUCUCUCUCUCUCUACUCAUAUAUGAUAGUAAGUGAUUUAACAAAGAUUGGUCAUAAAUUUAAUGAUCGAGCUUGGUCCUGGAUGAUUGCAUCAUUCAAUGAAAAAUUUGGACUUCAAUGUGACAAAGGCGUAUUGGAAGAACUGUAUUUUAGCUUGAUGGAAGAAUAUAACAACAUCACAGACUUUCUCAGUAGGAACGGCUUUGUCUGGGACGACAUUCAGCAAACAGUAGUUGCUGAUGAUGAUGUUUGGGAAUCGUAUAUCCAGGUUCAUUUCUUUCUCAAUCCAUGGUAGCUGGCUAAUACGGGUCUUUUUUAUUCUCUGUUUUAGUCGUAUCACUUGCAUGCCAUGGUGGGCGGCAUUACCAUUCACCAAAAGACAUUUCAAAAAGAAAUAAUCCAUGAUACUGCUUUAUGAUGAAAUAAUUCCUGAUGGCAAGUACAUGAAUAUAUAUAUCCAGAUGCUGAGCAGAUCCACAACAAGUGCUUGCUUUCUGUGCUGAUAAAUGUUCAUACUGCAAUGUUUUGCAGGAGUAUGCUGAUGCAUUUGCAUUUAGGGAGAGCAGUCUUCGUAUUUAUGAUGAUUUGCGCGUGAUAUUUGGUUACAGAAGUUUUAAUGGAAGAUUAAGUGGGGUGGGUGCGAAAGUUGAGAAUGACGAUAAUAUCUUUACUGACUUGCAUACUCCAGCCGCAGAGUUUGAUUUAUCUGAUAAAAAGAAAAAGCGAAAAUCUGCAACUUCAUCAGCAUCGGCUUAUUUUUCCAGAAAGGUUCGAAGGCCCAUCAAAGAAGAGAUACUUGAAACCCUUGAUGAGAAGCCAUAUUUGAUGGGGACACGGACAGGUGACAAAGAGCAAAGAGACUACAACUCUGUUGAAAGCAUUGUCGACGCACUUCAAACUGUACCAGGCAUGGACAACGACGAGCUCUUUCUGCAAGCUAUUCAACUCCUAGAAGAUGAUAAAAACGCCAAGAUCUUCAUUGAAAUGGAUGUGAAUCAGCGGAGGAAGUGGUUGUUAAGAAAGCUUCACCGCCGGUAGCAUCAAUUUAGCCUUCAAAUUAUGUAAUAUAACUUCGAUUCACACUUGAGACCUGUGUCCAUAUAUAAAACCAGCAGAGAUGUUAAUACAAAGCAGUUACUGCACUCAAUCUUGCAAGAUACCAGCCUGGAACAUUUGUGGCCCUGUUAAUGAAGAGCAGUUUCAGUCCAAGUACCAGAAUCUUAUUUUUCUCCUUAAUUACUGAAAUGACUAAGAUAAUGUCUGAUGGGCUAAGGCUGAAGGCCCUCGGCCUCCUAAAUUUUGAAAUGAGCCCAGCCAUCUCAAUGAGCAUAACAUCCCCUUCUAAUUUUUCAAAAUUGAUGAAAUACAAAAGCAAAACUCUUGGUUAUAACUUCUUUUUCACUCUCAUCAAUUUUAUUUCGUUGUGUUUAUGCUUUUUUUUUCCUUGUAUUUUAGAGAAGUUAAGUACACACUUACUAUUUUUUGUUUAAUUCUUUGAGUUCACAACUUUUAAAAUUAAAUUUCUAGUUCGAUCACACAGUAUCUCCUAAAUUUCUGCAUUGGUUUAAUAGUACAGCUGAAGUGUUUGGAA